ACAUGAAAUGUUUCUUACAGGAGCUAAAACGGAGGAGGUGGCACUGAUGAACGGCCUGACAGUGAAUUUACACCUUCUACUGCUUUCCUUCUACAAACCCACAGCAGCUCGGCACAAAAUCCUUCUGGAGGACAAGGCCUUUCCGUCAGACCAUUAUGCUGUAGAGUCUCAGAUCCGGCUGCGAGGAUUCGACCCUCAGAAGAGCAUGCUGAUGCUUCAACC